rnacentral:rRNA from 1 species
AGUAUGAGAUGGAUAUCUAGGCAUAUGAAAUUAAGGACGUAGCGUAUUUACGAAAAGUUGUGAUGAGAAACGCAAUCUACUAUGAAUCACAAAUCUCCUAGGGUAAACCAUACGUUUUAGUAUUUACUACUAAAUUAAUUGAAACAUCUUAUUAGUUUAAGGAAUAGAAAUCAAACGAGAUUUCAUUAGUAGUGGCGAGCGAAAAUGAAUUAGAGUACAUACAAUAAAAAAGUUAAAUAAUUUGAAAUAAUUAACUAUAAAAGGUUAAAGUCCUGUAAGCUUUUGCGUAUAUUUGUAGUAGAAGAGAUUUCGAGGAGAUCUCUUUGAAUAUUGGAGGACCAUACUUCAAACUCUAAAUAUCUUCAUAUGACCGAUAGAAUAAAGUACUGUGAAGGAAAGAUGAAAAGAAUUCUUAGAUGGAAGUGAAAAGAUUUUGAAAUCUAAUACUCUCAACCGACCGAAGUAUUUAAAAUAUGACGGUGUGCCUUUUGUAUCAUGCAUUAGCGACUUUAAAUUUACAGCAAGCUUAAAUUGUUAAAUGUAAGCGUAGUUAAAGCAAGUGUUCAGUAUACACUAAAUAGUUGUAAAUUUAAGACCCGAAUCCAAGUGAUCUAGUUAUGAACAGGUUGAAUGCAUAAUAAUUUAUGUUGGAAGACCUAACUCGUAACUGUUGCAAAAGUUUGAGAUGAUUUGUAAUUAGGGGUGAAAGGCCAAUCAAACUUGGUGAUAGCUGGUUUUCCACGAAAUAUAUUUAGGUAUAGCGUAAUUUUAGGUAGCAAAGGGUAGAGCUCUUUUUAAACUAGGGGAGUCAAUAAACUUUACUGAAUUUAGAUAAACUACGAAUAUUUGCUAAAUUUAAGAUUAUAGUCAGACUUUGAGUGCUAAGAUUUUAAGUCAAGAGGGAAACAGCCCAGAUUAUUAACUAAGGCCCAUAAAUGAAAGCUAAGUGAUAAAGAAAGUGAUUAGACCAAGAUAGUUAGAAGGUGAGCUUGGAAGCAGCUAUCCUUUAAAAAAUGCGUAAUUGCAUACUAAUUGAA